UUGUGUACCUAAAAUUCAGCACAUAACUAAUUCCUAUUUGUAAAAAGGAAAGUUGCACUUAUAGUGAUGUCUCCUUUCUAGUCGGCUUAAUAGAACUACAUUUAACUGAACGAGAUGGGUCGCAGAAAAUCGAAAAGAAAACCUCCACCAAAAAAGAAAAAUAUUGAGCCGUUGGACCAGCAGUUUAAUUGCCCCUUCUGUAAUCAUGAAAAGUCCUGUGAAGUAAAAAUUGCAGUUUUAGCGGAACCUGCCCAAAAAUCAUCCAAAAAAGUUGGGAGGGCUACCGCGUGUCAACCCUCAUAAUAAUCUGCAAGCGGAAAUUAACUUUUUUAAUUCAUUCCAAAGUUGUUUGUAAAAAACAUUGCGUUCGUUUUGAUGAAUUUCAAAUAAUUGUGGUAAUUCUGCGGGGUACAACUGCGGAACAAGUGAAGUAUAGCGGCCGUUGAGGGAAAAUAUAAAUAAAAAGUAUAUAAAUAAAAAGUGGGCGUGGACCGCACCGUUUUACUGAUUUUAAUCAAGGCGGAUUUAUGGAAGGGGAUGU